UACGUAGGGUGCAAGCGUUAAUCGGAACUACUGGGCGUAAAGCGUGCGCAGGCGGUUCGCUAAGACAGAUGUGAAAUCCCCGGGCUUAACCUGGGAACUGCAUUUGUGACUGGCGGGCUAGAGUAUGGCAGAGGGGGGUAGAAUUCCACGUGUAGCAGUGAAAUGCGUAGAGAUGUGGAGGAAUACCGAUGGCGAAGGCAGCCCCCUGGGAUAACACUGACGCUCAUGCACGAAAGCGUGGGGAGCAAACAGG
rnacentral:rRNA from 1 species